rnacentral:rRNA from 1 species
UACGUAGGGGGCAAGCGUUGUCCGGAUUUACUGGGCGUAAAGAGCGUGUAGGCGGCCAGGUAGGUCGGUUGUGAAAACUGGAGGCUCAACCUCCAGACGUCGACCGAAACCAUCUGGCUAGAGUCCGGAAGAGGAGAGUGGAAUUCCUGGUGUAGCGGUGAAAUGCGCAGAUAUCAGGAAGAACACCCGUGGCGAAAGCGGCUCUCUGGGACGGUACUGACGCUGAGACGCGAAAGCGUGGGGAGCGAACAGG